rnacentral:rRNA from 1 species
AUUGAACGCUGGCGGCAUGCCUAACACAUGCAAGUCGAACGUGAAAGAGGGGCAACUCUCGAGUAAAGUGGCGGACGGGUGAGUAAUACGUAGGAAUCUGCCCUAGAGUGGGGGAUAACCUGCCGAAAGGCGGGCUAAUACCGCAUAAUCUCUACGGAGAAAAGGUGCCUUGUACUUGGACAUGGUUGCGAUUUCGGAUGAGCCUACGUCUGAUUAGCUAGUAGGUAGGGUAAAGGCCUACCAAGGAAAGAAUUCGUAGCUUGUCUGAGAGGACGAUCAGCCACACUGAAACUGAGACACGGUCCAGACUCCUACGGGAGGCAGCAGUGGGGAAUAUUGGACAAUGGGGGAAACCCUGAUCCAGCAAUGCCGCGUGUGCGAUGAAGGCCUGAGGGUUGUAAAGCACUUUCGUUGGAGAAGAAAUGCUCAAAUAUAAUACAUUUGAGAGAUGACGUUAUCCAAAGAAGAAGCACCGGCAAACUCUGUGCCAGCCGCCGCAGUAACAC